GAGCUCGACAGCCCGGAGCCAAAGGGGCGGAAGGUCGCCGAGUGCUGGGAGGGGAGGUGGGGCAGCGACUGAGCGCCGCAGGAGCUGGCUGCAACCCAGACGCGGCCCGGGAGCGUCGGGAAUGGCAGUGUGGACCUCUGUGAUGGGACAUCUUGUGGGAUCUCACAGCCAGUUCUGUGGCAAAGGAGGAUGAAGGCUUACGAGGACUCGUCAGGAAGCUGGAUAACAGAGCGAGCGCAAUGGCUCCUGUGACAAGUGGACAUGCAGUGACUGCACCUUUGUUUCUGAGGUGCCUGGAUGGAGGCUCAAAUAGAAGAUGGUGUCAGAUAUAUUGUGUUAAAAUUUUACCAUUAAAGUGUAUUAUAACAUGAA
rnacentral:lncRNA from 1 species